rnacentral:rRNA from 1 species
UACGAAGGGGGCCAGCGUUGUUCGGAUUUACUGGGCGUAAAGCGCACGUAGGCGGACUAUUAAGUCAGGGGUGAAAUCCCGGGGCUCAACCCCGGAACUGCCUUUGAUACUGGUAGUCUUGAGUUCGAGAGAGGUGAGUGGAAUUCCGAGUGUAGAGGUGAAAUUCGUAGAUAUUCGGAGGAACACCAGUGGCGAAGGCGGCUCACUGGCUCGAUACUGACGCUGAGGUGCGAAAGCGUGGGGAGCAAACAGG